ensembl:lncRNA
GUGCGGCUGAGGCUGAGGCUGCGGGGGGAGCGCCGGGCAAAACGCGCGCCCCGCACCCCGCGGGCAUCUGCGCGGCUCUCCCGCUUCCAUUCCGCUUCGUUUGUGCUUGUGAUGUUGCAGAUGAAGUCUUAAAGAGCUGCAAUGUCCUCCCAGAAGGAAUGUCUGCUUGGAACAGAUCCUUAUUGACAAGGCAGCUGCGUGGGGACCGGAACGGAGCCUUAAACCCGGCUCUAACACCAACUAAUACCCUAAAGUCUGGAGCAAGUGCGCAGAAUUACAGCGGUGGGCUCCGAGCCUCCCGCAGGAGCGGUGCCACGGCCGCACCGAGCCCGGGACGCGCUCCCCGGUCCCUUUCCCUUUAUUACAAUGCGCUCUUCCUCUAAUUUUCCAAGACGUUUGGGAAGCACGGACCUGAGGGUUCGUCCAUUCAGGGCUAAGGGGUGAAGAACGCAAAGCGGGGCCGUGAGGAGCCCUGGUUUGUAACGAGAGCGGCUUCUCCCUGCCCGUCCCUUCCCAAGGCCGAACCCGAACGUUGGGGCUCAGCCCCCACCGGGGCCGCGCCGCUCCGCGCCCCACAGCGCCCGCGGAGCGAACGGGGCUGCGCCCGCGGGCAGCGCUGCGGCCGGGGCCGCUCCCAGCGGCGUGCGUUACCCGCUGCUUUUCCUACAAAACAAACGGAAAGUUUUCGCUUCAAACCACCCGAAAGAAGCAAAACGGCACGGAUUUCCGAACCUCACGCUCCGUUUAGCCCCAUAAAUUCAGACGAGAAAUGGUUUCGAAGCGCUCGAAUAAAAGCAAAGGAACGGAGCUCGAAGCGAACGGCCGAACGGCGGCAGGGCGGCUCGGGGAGGUUCUGUGCCGUACGGGUCGGGCUCAGCCCGGCCCCGAUCCCUGCGCAGGAGCGCACAUCUCCGCGGGUUUAUUCGAUGCGGAGCGGGGAUGGGGAUGGGGCCGGGGCAGCGCUCGGCCGUUUUUCACCGAUUUCGCCGGAAAAAAAAAAAAAAAAAAAAAGAAUUGUAUAGGAAAGAUAGAAAACGCGGCCCCCCUCUGCCCCUCCGGCCUUAGAAAUAAGCCUACCAAAUAAACCUAAAGCUCUCUAUGUGUUUUUAAAGUGCGGGUUUCUGGAGAGAGGAGCAGCAGAAGGGAGCGCUGGGAGCGGUGUCCGAUAAGAGCCGCGGGCUCUGGGCUGGAGCCGGGCGGGCGGUAACAGAACGCUGCCGAUUUCCGAACCUUUCGAAGGCGAAACCCAAAACCGCCCCAUUAGUCAAUGAGGUUUGUGUUGGAGAGGGCUCCUUUCCCAUCCACUUGCUGUUCUGAAAAAUAGAUCACAUUUCGUUAUCUUUAGUGAGAAUCUGCAACGUGAUACCGGAUCCGUGCUGCCUUCCCCGCCGAACGCGCAGGGAGACAGCCCGCUGCCGGCUCGCCCCGAACAAUAAGGAUUUGUGUCGCCUCUCCCUCCCUCCCCCCCGCCCCGUAUUAUCCUAUUUUCCUAACGGGGGGCUGUGGGAUGGGGGGCAGAGUGCGGCACGGCCCCCUCUCCACGUACACCCCUCUCGCCGGGACGCAGCCCCGGCGCCCCCGCAGCCCCGGGCCGGGCCACAAAGGGCCCUUUCUCCGUUCGCUUCUACGGAUUAAAGGGGAUCACGCGGCCGUGCGGUCCCCUCCGUCGCCCCGGCUUUCCCCCCCCGCACCCCGUUUCCCCGCUGCCGAUGGACCUCCGGGGGACGCUGACUUUUUUACGUUGAUACGUAUUUUUGUUUAAGCUCCGAAGAAUUUCCUCCGGGGAGGCGAAGCCCUCCGGCUCCUCCCGUUCAGAGGAAAGUGCCGGUGACGGUAAUACGGGGUGACACUAAACAAACAGUUAAAGCGGGGCUGCAAAGAUGGAGUUAAUUAUCCCGUGAGCUCCAUUUAAACCCAGACCAGGAGGGGCCGGUUUGUUUUGGCGCACGGAGCCGAGGAGCAGCGCGGCUCCUCCCGUCCCCGCCGCCGUCGGUGCGGGCAUACGGGGACCGAACCCCGCUCCGGCCGGGUCCCCUCGGGCAGCGCCGGGCCGUGGGGCUCCGGGGGGGUCCGUUCCUUUCGCUUUCAUACGGCUGCAGUCACCGAGCGGUGCCCGCGCUCCUCAGCAGCACAACGCAGCUUUCCGGGGGAAUCGGCUCUGCGCGCAGCAGAUCAGAGCGGUGGAUAAGCUCACCGCCCUGCGCCGGGUGUAUGAUUUCAUCGACCUUCGGCAGCGCCUCGCCUCCAUGGAGACUGCACUCCUCGCUCCUGAGCCCCGCCGGGGUACUUCAGGGUUCGUGCUCCUGGAUCUCGGAAAGGCACAUCUGUACAGCUCCAAUGGCACCGCAGUGAUUUACAGCUGUAAUACUUUGAUCCAGGGCACGUUGCACCGUGGGACACGUGGGAGCUGGGAGAGAGGACUGCAAAGUGAAGACUCCAUUGGUGGCCAUGGCCAUUUUGGGAGGAUGUGAGCACAGCCAGGUGGGACCUGUUGGAAAUGAGGGAAAACCAACCCAGUGUGGCGGGUUUGAGAGAAUGCGAGUGAGAGCACAGCAGCAUAAGGACUAUUAAUAGGAUUUACACAGAUUAGUAAACUAAUCUGUGCAUUUCAGAUUGGAUUUCUCAUUAUGGAGAAGAAAAUUAAUCCACAUAGCAUGCAGACUCGCCAGGCAGUGCAGUGAGAGUGCGAGGGAGAUGGCCGUGUAUCUCUGCUGGUGACUGAGCAUUGCACCGUGCCCUCCUGCACCCAGGCCAGCACUGCGAACGGCUUGGGUUGGAAGGGACCUCAAAGACCAUCUAUUUCCAGCCCCCCAGCUCAGUGACAUUUACCUUCAGGUCUCUGCUUGGGAGAAUGAAUGCUUUGGAGUGCUGAUGGAGCAGGGUUCGAAGCGUUCCCUGGCACAAAACAUGUGCUGAACGUUUCAUUUCCCACCACCGCUGGGGUUGGUCUCAUCUCCCUUAUCAGCAGUAACUCCACUGAGCACCAUUUGUCACCACUGGGAGCCAUUUGCUCGUGGUAAACUGAUUUAAGGACAGGCACAGGAUGCUGCAGGGAUCCUGCCUGCUUUGUCUGGGGCUGUGACUGAGAAUUUGCUUGAACUGCUUAAAAACAGAGUGAGCCUUAGGUUCGAAGAAGCACAUUUGCCUUUUGCUUUGUAUUUAUUAAAUGCAAUAUACCAAUAUUUAUGUGUAUUAUGGUCUGGAGACCUUCAGUAUGUCCUUUUUUUUCUUUCUUUUUUUCUUCUUUCUUUUCUUAUUUGUCUUUUUCAACUAGGAACUCAAUUUUCAGACUAGUAGGAAGCUGUGGCCGUAAAACCUCCUUCCUACUUCCCCUCUCUCACCAGUUACUAAAUACUGCAAAGUUCAUAAAUUGAGAAAGUUGGCAAAUCAGAGCACUGCUUCAUUUUGAGACAGGGCUGGGGCUGUGAGACUGCCAUUCUGUGCUGCCUGGGACAUAUCCCUGCUGAUGGAGAUGCUGGGAUGUGCUCAGUUGCCCAAACUGUGGAUAGGGAACAGCUGGAUGUAAAGGUGGAGUCAUGGGAUCAUCAUGGAAUCAUUAAGGUUGGAAAAGAUCAUGGAGUUCACCAAGUCCAACCCCAGCCCACCCCCACCAUGCCCACUGCCCACGGCCCUCAGUGCCACAUCUCCAUGGCUCUGGAACACCUCCAGGGAUGGUGAUCCCACCACUCCCUGGGCAGCUGUGCCACUGCAUCACCAC